GCGCAACCUUAUUGUUAGUUGCCAUCAUUCAGUUGGGCACUCUAGCGAGACUGCCGGUAAUAAACCGGAGGAAGGUGGGGAUGACGUCAAAUCAUCAUGCCCCUUAUGACCUGGGCUACACACGUGCUACAAUGGUUGGUACAACGAGUCGCAAGUCGGUGACGGCAAGCAAAUCUCUUAAAGCCAAUCUCAGUUCGGAUUGUAGGCUGCAACUCGCCUACAUGAAGUCGGAAUCGCUAGUAAUCGCGGAUCAGCACGCCGCGGUGAAUACGUUCCCGGGCCUUGUACACACCGCCCGUCACACCACGAGAGUUUGUAACACCCGAAGUCGGUGAGGUAACCGUAAGGAGCCAGCCGCCUAAGGUGGGAUAGAUGAUUGGGGUGAAGUCGUAACAAGG
rnacentral:rRNA from 1 species